GUGGACAUGAAGGUCCCUGUGCAGCUCCUCAGCUUUCUGAUGCUCUGGCUUCCAGGUGCCAAGGGUGAUGUCCAGUUGACCCAGUCUCCAUCCAUGUCUGCAUCUCUGGGAGAGAAAGUCUCCCUCUCCUGCAAGGCCAGUGAGGGCAUUAGCAUUUAUUUACACUGGUAUCAGCAGAAACCAGGGAAAGCUCCUAAGCUCCUGAUCUAUGGAGCCACCAAUUUACAAACAGGUGUCCCUUACCGGUUCAGUGGCAGAGGAUCUGGCAUAGAUUUCACUCCCACCAUCAGCAAGCUGGAGUCUGAAGAUGCUGCCACUUAUUACUGUCAACAGAGUGGUUAUUGGCCUCCAACAGUGAUACAGGCCCGAACAUAA